UCCCUCGUGGCGCAAUUGGCUAGCGCGUCAGACUGUUAAUCUGGAGGCUGAUGGUUCGACCCCAUCCGAGGGAG